GGGCGGGCGACGUUUGGAUCCGAGAGCUUCUGGGGGGCGCGGGGCCCCUUGGGCAAUGCACGGAGGUGGCGAAAGCGAAAGUCUGGGCCGGCGGGUUUCGCUUUCCUUUCUUCCCCCUCUCCCGGGAGGCCCCUUCCUUUCACCCCUCCCCGUGGCAGCCUGGCUGGGAGGGCGUCGGGCAGCGUAUGGGGGGCGCCGAAAGCCACCGCAGAUACGAGGCGGGGUAGCCUGGGCUCUGCCCAUCCCGCGACGGGCGCCCCGAGGAGACCCUGCCCCACCCCUGUACCUUUUCUCUGCUCUACCAGGGAAGUUAUCAGUCUCUCUUCAGGACUCAUACUGUCCAGGUGAUCCGUGGGCCACACAUGGAGAAAUACUUCCUAAAAUCUUGGGCAUCCCCAUUUCCUGUCCACUUACCAUCACUGGGCCUGGCUAAGCCGUCUCCUGCAGCCUCUCAGUUGGUUCUCACAACAGUAUAUGAGAUGGGGACGAUGCCAUCAGAAAUAGAAGUGUUUUAAACCAGGUGGAUGAUGGUGCUGUAACCAACCAGGAGGAGUGCUGGUUCCCUGCAUUCUGAAUCUGGCUGCCUUGUUUUUUGCACACAAUCCCACCUUAGGACAUGUUGGGGAUUGAAUUAUGUCCCCCACAAAAGGUAUGUUCAGGUCCCCAUCCCUGGUCCUGUGAAGAUGUUAUUAGUUAAGGCGUGCCCAAACUGAAUGAGGGUGG